rnacentral:rRNA from 1 species
GGGGAAUAUUGCACAAUCGGGGACACACCCUGAUGCAGCGACGCCGCGUGAGCGAAGAAGUAUUCUCGGUAUGUAAAGCUCUAUCAGCAGGGAAGAAGAAUGACGGUACCUGACUAAGAAGCACCGGCUAAAUUACGUGCCAGCAGCCGCGGUAAUACGUAUGGUGCAAGCGUUAUCCGGAUUUACUGGGUGUAACAGGGAGCGCAGGCGGUGCGGCAAGUCUGAUGUGAAAGCCCGGGGCUCAACCCCGGGACUGCAUUGGAAACGUUCGAACUAGAGUGUCGGAGGGGUAAGUGGAAUUCCUAGUGUAGCGGUGAAAUGCGUAGAUAUUAGGAGGAACACCAGUGGCGAAGGCGGCUUACUGGACGAUUACUGACGCUGAGGCUCGAAAGCGUGGGGAGCAAACAGGAUUAGAUACCCUGGUAG